rnacentral:rRNA from 1 species
CCUACGGGGGGCUGCAGUGGGGGAUAUUGCACAAUGGGGGAAACCCUGAUGCAGCGACGCCGCGUGGGUGAAGAAGCGCCUCGGCGCGUAAAGCCCUGUCAGCAGGGAAGAAAAUGACGGUACCUGAAGAAGAAGCCCCGGCUAACUACGUGCCAGCAGCCGCGGUAAUACGUAGGGGGCAAGCGUUAUCCGGAUUUACUGGGUGUAAAGGGGGCGCAGACGGCGAUGCAAGCCAGGAGUGAAAGCCCGGGGCCCAACCCCGGGACUGCUCUUGGAACUGCGUGGCUAGAGUGCAGGAGGGGCAGGGGGAAUUCCUGGGGUAGCGGUGAAAUGCGUAGAUACCAGGAGGAAAACCGGUGGCGAAGGCGGCCUGCUGGACUGCAACUGACGUUGAGGCCCGAAGCGUGGGGAGCAAACAGGAUUAGAUACCCUUGUAGUC